UUGAGCCAAUUGCUUCAAAAUAGAGAUCGCCACCUCUGGUUAUUUGCUUGCUUUUUUUUUUCUUCUCAUUUUGUUUUCUUUUGUGAGCUGAUUUUUCUUAUGCAGCAUGCUAAAUGUGGAAAUAUGUAUAAUUAAUUAAAAAUAAUUAAAAUUAAUUAAAGAGCAUCAACUCACCUAUAAUUGAGCAGAUCUCUUCAAAACAGAGAGCUAUUUUGUGGUUGUUUGCUUUUUGUUUUCUUUCUUAUUUUUUUCCUUUUUGAUUUGGCUUUUCUCAUCUGCAGCAUGCUAAAUAUGGAAAUAUAUACAUAAUUAAAGAUAAUUAAGAUUAAUUAGACUAAGGAAUAUCAACUCACCUACAAUUGAGCCGAUUGCUUCAAAAUAGAGAUUGCCGCCUCUGUUAUUUGCUAGCUUUUUUUUCUCAUUUUAUUUUCCGUGUUGAUCUCAUUUUUCUCCAGUGUGCUGCAUGGGAGAGUGUGUCUCUCUAAUUAGUCACUGAGAUAAGUCAGACUAAGGAAUACCACCUCCCCUGUAGCCGAGCAGACCGCUUCAUGAUUGCCACCUCCCCGGGAUCGCCGAGCAGCCGAGAUAGAAGAGAACGCCGCAUUUAGAACGUGCGGACAAUGCACAGAACGUACCAAAGUUUCUGACAAAGACCAUUAGAACCCAAAAUUAGAGCCAGUUUGAGCACAAAAAGUAAUGAUUGACCCCUGAAUUUAGUAUGCUGGGGGGCCUUGGCAAGAGGAAAAAGGAUGGCAAGGUCCAAGCUUCCCGGCGUCCGCGAAAUGGCUGCAAGGGCCGCAGGCUCUUGGGUGGGUCCGGCCAAGAAUGGAGAACUAAGCCCCCUCGCAACGUUAUGGGCCAGGAGACAAACAGCUCAACCGCUACAAGAACUCCAGGAGCUGCCAGGGGAAACUGUCGCCGCCGCCGUCGCCGCCGCUGCUGCCGUCGCCCAAUGGGGUGCGUUAUCUGCAUGAUGGAUUUUGUGUACGGGGACGCAAUCCGUUGCCUCCCUUGUCUACACAGCUACCACGUCCACUGCUUAGAUGACUGGUUUCUCUACUCUUUAUCGUGUCCCUGCUGCUUUGAGCCCGUAGAUCCGGCUUGGUUUUACUCUUGCUGUUAAGACCUGGAACGCGGCGGCCAUCAUGGCCCUGGUCUUCUUUAGACCAGAAGAACAUCACACCUCAGAACAUCUUGCAAGCAGUCCGGCUUCAUUAACAUCAGGCAGCAAACCCUAAUAAACAGCAUUUACCAAAA